rnacentral:rRNA from 1 species
CACGAACGCUGGCGGCGUGCUUAACACAUGCAAGUCGAACGGUAAGGCCCUUCGGGGUACACGAGUGGCGAACGGGUGAGUAACACGUGGGUGAUCUGCCCUGCACUUCGGGAUAAGCCUGGGAAACUGGGUCUAAUACCGGAUAGGACCACUGCCUGCAUGGGUGGUGGUGGAAAGCUUUUGCGGUGUGGGAUGGGCCCGCGGCCUAUCAGCUUGUUGGUGGGGUGAUGGCCUACCAAGGCGACGACGGGUAGCCGGCCUGAGAGGGUGACCGGCCACACUGGGACUGAGGUACGGCCCAGACUCCUACGGGAGGCAGCAGUGGGGAAUAUUGCACAAUGGGCGCAAGCCUGAUGCAGCGACGCCGCGUGAGGGAUGACGGCCUUCGGGUUGUAAACCUCUUUCAGCACCGACGAAGCGCAAGUGGCGGUAGGUGCAGAAGAAGGACCGGCCAACUACGUGCCAGCCGCCGCCGUAA